GUAUUUGUACAACACUCAACAGAGGCAUUACAAUGAUCUACUGAUACAAGCAUCCCCAAACACAUCUUUCCAUCUCCUUGCUGAUUAGGUAAAAAGGUGUACGUAUGACGACCAUCGAUUUUUCUCCAACAUUUUCAUGGCUGUUAGGGUUCCCCCCUCCUAGUGUUUCACUUGGGGGUGAAAGCCUAAAAUGGAGAAUAACAAACAACAGUUAGUAUAAACUCUACAAAACAAGCAAAUAUAUUAUCAAAACCACGAGUUGAACUUACAGCAAAAAUGGUGGCAUGACCAGGAUCGGCAAGGUGGGCAAAGAGGUUGUCAAUGGGCCCAGUGCCGGUGUAGAUAUGUUGGAACCAUGCACCCAUCACUGCCAACAUAGCCAAUCGGCCAUUCUUGAUCUCUUUCGUCCUCAGCUCCUUGAUCUUCUCAGGCGAACCACUUCCCCAGCCAAGAGGGUCAAACCACAGGCCACCUGGGUAUCCAAC
rnacentral:lncRNA from 1 species